GUUUUGAGUUCGCUGGAAAAUCAUACUGAGACCGAAUACACCACUCUUGCCUUCACUUGCAUCUCUCACAGGAAGCGGGCGCUCGUUCAGUUUUCAACUCCAUUCAGAAUCUUAGAAUGUGAGAAUAACAGUGUAAAAGAACCUGUUGCAAAGAGAGCCAAAGCAAAGCAGCCCACUUGGUCAUGGAAAUGGGGAUUCCUGCCUGCACAAGAACCUGGACCACAGCUAAGACCAUGUGAUGCACACACUCCCAUGAGUUAUUUUAUGUGAU